rnacentral:rRNA from 1 species
CCUACGGGUGGCAGCAGUGGGGAAUUUUGGGCAAUGGAGGAAACUCUGACCCAGCAACGCCGCGUGAGUGAUGACGGCCUUCGGGUUGUAAAGUUCUUUCCUAAGGGACGAAGAAAGUGACGGUACCUUAGGACUCUGCCUCGGCUACAUACGUGCCAGCAGCCGCCGUAAUACGUAGGAGGCAAGCGUUAUCCGGAAUGACUGGGCGUAAAGGGUGCGUAGGUGGUUUGACAAGUUGGUAGCGUAACCCCGGGGCUCAACCUCGGCACUACUACCAAAACUGUCGGACUUGAGUGCAGGAGGGGGAAAUGGAAGUCCUAGUGUAGCGGUGGAAUGCGUAGAUAUUAGGAGGAACACCAGUGGCGAAGGCGAUUUGCUGGACUGUAACUGACGCUGAGGCACGAAAGCGUGGGGAGCAAACAGGAUUAGAUACCCCUGUAGUC